UACGUAGGGUGCAAGCGUUAAUCGGAAUUACUGGGCGUAAAGCGUGCGCAGGCGGUGAUGUAAGACAGAUGUGAAAUCCCCGGGCUCAACCUGGGAACUGCAUUUGUGACUGCAUCGCUGGAGUGCGGCAGAGGGGGAUGGAAUUCCGCGUGUAGCAGUGAAAUGCGUAGAUAUGCGGAGGAACACCGAUGGCGAAGGCAAUCCCCUGGGCCUGCACUGACGCUCCUGCACGAAAGCGUGGGGAGCAAACAGG
rnacentral:rRNA from 1 species